ACGGUUGAGAUUAAAAGGCAAAGGGUUAAAUACCCCCACCCACACCUGACCAAAAAAACCCUAGCUGCCAGUGCUCGCCGGAGAAGAAGAACCAGACGCCGGAGGAGCCGGCCGCCGCCACCCGCCGUCGCACCGGGGAAGUUUCUGACCGCCGAUCGAGGUAAAUUUUCUCCCCCUUGCUCGUUUUUCGACGUUGAGUCCGCCUAUGGCCAAACUGGAGCCAAACCACCGGCCAAACGGCUGAAAAACCCAGCCGAAACCCAGAG
rnacentral:lncRNA from 1 species